UACGGGGGGGGCGAAGCGUUGUUCGGAAUUACUGGGCGUAAAGGGCUCGUAGGCGGCCAACUAAGUCAGACGUGAAAUCCCUCGGCUUAACCGGGGAACUGCAUCUGAUACUGGAUGGCUUGAGUUCGGGAGAGGGAUGCGGAAUUCCAGGUGUAGCGGUGAAAUGCGUAGAUAUCGGGAGGAACACCAGUGGCGAAGGCGGCAUCCUGGACCGGUAUUGACGCUGAGGCGCGAAAGCCAGGGGAGCAAACGGG
rnacentral:rRNA from 1 species